AGAGUUUGAUCCUGGCUCAGGACGAACGCUGGCGGCGUGCUUAACACAUGCAAGUCGAACGAUGAACCUGGAGCUUGCUCUGGGGGAUUAGUGGCGAACGGGUGAGUAACACGUGAGUAACCUGCCCUUGACUCUGGGAUAACCUCCGGAAACGGAAGCUAAUACCGGAUAUGACGUACGGAGGCAUCUCCUGUGCGUGGAAAGAAUUUCGGUCAAGGAUGGACUCGCGGCCUAUCAGGUAGUUGGUGAGGUAACGGCUCACCAAGCCUACGACGGGUAGCCGGCCUGAGAGGGUGACCGGCCACACUGGGACUGAGACACGGCCCAGACUCCUACGGGAGGCAGCAGUGGGGAAUCUUCACA
rnacentral:rRNA from 1 species